GUGAUGAAGGUGUUGUUUUGGUAUUGCCAGGGCCUAAAGGUUUGAAUAGAAAAGAAGGUGGAAAGAUAGUGAAUGUGAAUUUGCCUAAAGGUCAAAUUGAAGGGUUGAAAAAUGAGAUGAGAAAGGAAUUAGGCACUAUAUGCUAGCACUUUUAUGUCUACUAGAAUGAAAGGCGCAACUAAAGCAAUGAUUGCCAUGAACAAGGCACUGAUUAUGUUUUUGAACUUUCUUUUCCUUUUUUUCUUUCAAAUCAGCAUAACUUCUAAAAUUUAAAAGAUUUGUUUGUGUUGUGCUAGCAUUUAGGUUCAUGCUACAAAGGUUAGAACCAUAGAUAUUUAGGUGUAGAUCCUUUAAUUGGUUUACUCUCUAUGGUUACAUCUCAGCAAAUGACUCCUUCAAAAUAAGACAAAGUGAUCAGACAAUUCCAGAAGCGCUCAUCACAGUUGGGCAUGACAGUAAGGACACUAAACUAUCCCAUUAUUGACUUUUACACCCUUUCAAUUGUUUGACUUGUUACCUAAUAUUGUUAACAUUAUAUUUGAUAUUUUCACUCACUUA